AGCGAACGCUGGCGGCAGGCUUAACACAUGCAAGUCGAACGGUCCUUCGGGAUAGUGGCGGAUGGGUGAGUAACACGUGGGAACGUGCCUUUAGGUUCGGAACAACACAGGGAAACUUGUGCUAAUACCGGAUGUGCCCUUCGGGGGAAAGAUUUAUCGCCUUUAGAGCGGCCCGCGUCUGAUUAGCUUGUUGGUGAGGUAAUGGCUCACCAAGGCUACGAUCAGUAGCUGGUCUGAGAGGAUGACCAGCCACAUUGGGACUAAGACACGGCCCAAACUCCUACGGGAGGCAGCAGUGGGGAAUCUUGCGCAAUGGGCUAAAGCCUGACGCAGCCAUGCCGCGUGAAUGAUGAAGGUCUUAGGAUUGUAAAAUUCUUUCACCGGGGACGAUAAUGACGGUACCCGGAGAAGAAGCCCCGGCUAACUUCGUGCCAGCCGCCGCCGUAA
rnacentral:rRNA from 1 species